rnacentral:rRNA from 1 species
CAGCCGCGGGAAUACAGAGGGUGCGAGCGUUAAUCGGAUUUACUGGGCGUAAAGCGUGCGUAGGCGGCUUCUUAAGUCGGAUGUGAAAUCCCUGAGCUUAACUUAGGAAUUGCAUUCGAUACUGGGAAGCUAGAGUAUGGGAGAGGAUGGUAGAAUUCCAGGUGUAGCGGUGAAAUGCGUAGAGAUCUGGAGGAAUACCGAUGGCGAAGGCAGCCAUCUGGCCUAAUACUGACGCUGAGGUACGAAAGCAUGGGGAGCAAACAGGAUUAGAUACCCCUGUAGUCCCUGUCUCUUAUACACA